rfam:Trichosporon asahii var. asahii CBS 8904 unplaced genomic scaffold scaffold00167, whole genome shotgun sequence.
GGUCGCGUGGCCCAAUGGCAAGGCGUUUGACUACGACUCUCUCGCUCUCUCCUGCGAGACAAGCGAUGAUCAGAAGAUUGCGGGUUCGAUCCCCGUCGUGACCU